rnacentral:snoRNA from 1 species
AACAUCAGUAGGUUGUAUUAAUUGUAUAACAUACUCUAGAGACCUUGCAGCUGUUUCUGACUCAUCAGAGCUCAGUCCCAGCUGCCAACCACAGCUAAAAGUUGAAUGUUUUUUGACCUUACCAACAAUAAGGCCACAGCUAGCAUUUCGUUCCUGUUUCUUAGAUAAACUAGCAUCUCGUUAUAUUAGUCGAAAUAUUAGUGGUGCACUGUAAUCUUUACAGUGUAUUAUCAUGAUUUGAUUUCCUAAUAACUGAUAUGCAAUAUUC